rnacentral:rRNA from 1 species
AUGGCGCGCGGCUUCCCUGACCGGUGGUGUGCCUGGAUGGACCUGAUCUUUGGGUCCUCGCAGUCGGCGGUGCUACUGAAUGGCAUGCCCGGGAAGUGGUUCACGAUGCGCCAGGGGCUGCGGCAAGGUGACCCAUGCUCGCCCUACCUCUUCCUCAUCGUCGCUGAUGUGCUGCAACAGAUGAUCAGGCAAGAUGGGGGGCUGUUCCACCCCAUCGUUGACGGGGAGCCCCCCUGGUGCUGCAAUAUGCCGAUGAUACGUUGGUCAUCCUCCGUGCAGACACCGGCGCCACUGCCCGCCUCCGCCGUAUCCUCAACGACUUUGCAGUGGCGACGGGGUUGGACAUCAACUUCAUAA